rfam:Hordeum vulgare subsp. vulgare, WGS project CAJW01000000 data, contig: morex_contig_243702
CUUCUACUCCCUCUAUCCGGAAUUACUUGCCGCAUAAAUUGAUAAAAUUGGAUGUAUCUAAAACUGAAAUACAUCGAGAUAUAUUCAUUCUUAUGACAAGUAUUUCCAGACGGAGGGAGUAGCUU